UAGGCUGGCGGUGCAGCUGGUUCGUCCCGCCCGCCAGGCGGGAUGUCGUAAGAGGGAACCCGGUGGAAGUCCGGGACUGCCCCGCAGCGGUGAGCGGGAACGACCGCCGUCACACGCACUGGACCCCGACGGUCCGGGAAGCGACGGCCAGUAGGAGCCCCGCCGGGAGACCGGCAGGCGUGCCCGCGAGUCCGAAGACCUGCCCGUUGCCCGCACGCGCC
rnacentral:ncRNA from 2 species